rnacentral:rRNA from 1 species
ACGCUGGCGGUAGGCUUAACACAUGCAAGUCGUGCGAGAAAGUAUCUUCGGAUAUGAGUAGAGCGGCGGACGGGUGAGUAACGCGUAGGAAUCUACCUAGUAGAAGGGGAUAGCCCGGGGAAACUCGGAUUAAUACCGUAUACCUCCUUUGGGAGAAAGAAGGCCUCUCUUUGAAGCUUUCGCUAUUAGAUGAGCCUGCGUAAGAUUAGCUUGUUGGUGAGGUAAAGGCUCACCAAGGCGACGAUCUUUAGCGGGUCUGAGAGGACGAUCCGCCACAUUGGGACUGAGACACGGCCCAGACUCCUACGGGAGGCAGCAGUGGGGAAUAUUGGACAAUGGGCGCAAGCCUGAUCCAGCCAUACCGCGUGUGUGAAGAAGGCCCUAGGGUUGUAAAGCACUUUAAGUUGGGAAGAAAAGUUAUUGGUUAAUACCCAAUGACCGUGACAUUACCUUCAGAAUAAGGACCGGCUAAUUCCGUGCCAGCAGCCGCGGUAAUACGGAAGGUCCAAGCGUUAAUCGGAAUUACUGGGCGUAAAGCGCGCGUAGGUGGUUUAUUAAGUUGGAUGUGAAAUCCCCGGGCUCAACCUGGGAACUGCAUCCAAAACUGAUUCACUAGAGUACGAUAGAGGGAGGUAGAAUUCACAGUGUAGCGGUGGAAUGCGUAGAUAUUGUGAAGAAUACCAAUGGCGAAGGCAGCCUCCUGGAUCUGUACUGACACUGAGGUGCGAAAGCGUGGGUAGCGAACAGGAUUAGAUACCCUGGUAGUCCACGCCGUAAACGAUGUCAACUAGCUGUUGGAAAACUAUGUUUUUCAGUGGCGCAGCUAACGUAGUAAGUUGACCGCCUGGGGAGUAC